UGCCUAACACAUGCAAGUCGAACGGAUGCUUCGGGAUUAGAGGAGGACGGUGUGAGCAACACGCGGGAACCUGCCUUUUUGUUCGCAACAACUCAGGGAAACUUGACACUCAUACCGGAUAAGCCUUUCUAGGGAAAGAUUUUUCUCCCUUAUAGCGGACCGCGCUACGAUUAUCUGGCUGGUGGGGUAAAGGCCCACCAAGGCUACAAUCCUUAACUGGGCUGAGAGGAUGAGAAGCCUCAUUGGGACUGAGACACGGCCCACACUCCUAUGGGAGGCGGCAUAGGGGAAUCUUGCGCAGUGGGGGAAAGCCUGAGGCACCCAUGCCGCGUGAAUGAUAAGGGUCUUAGGAUUGUAAAAUUCUUUCACCGGGGACGAUAAUGACGGUACCCGGAGAAAAAACCCCGGCUAACUUCUUGCCCUCAGCCGCGGUAAUACGAAUGGGGCUAGCGUUGCUCGGAAUUACUGGGCGUAAAGGGAGCGUAGGCGGAUAGUUUAGUCAGAGGUGAAAGCCCAGGGCUCUCCCUUGGAAUUGCCUUUGAUACUGGCUAUCUUGAGUACGGAAGAGGUAUGUGGAACUCCGAGUGUAGAGGUGAAAUUCGUAGAUAUUCUCAAGAUCACCAGUGGCGAAGGCGACAUACUGGUCCGUUACUGACGCUGAGGCUCGAAAGCGUGUGGAGCAAACAGGAUUAGAUACCCUGGUAGGCCACGCUGUGAACGAUGAGUGCUAUGUGUCGGCAGGCAUGCCUGUCGGUGACG
rnacentral:rRNA from 1 species